rnacentral:rRNA from 1 species
ACCAGACUUGUGCUGGGCGGAUCAUCCAGUGUUCUCACUGGUGCACUCCGCUCGGUUCAGGCCAGCAUCGGUUCUGGGGGGUGCAUAAAGGCCGCAGGAACGUAUCUCUUCGGAGUGUUAUAGACCAUUGCAUAAUACCCUGGGCCGGACUGAGGUUCGCGCAUCUGCAAGGAUGCUGGCGUAAUGGUCAUCAGCGA